UUUAAAAUAUGAACCCUUUAUUCUUCACCGUGUGGAAAUGUUGCUUGGAAUUUGCUGUUGUGCUUAUUUCUGCUUUUUUACAUUUGACAAGCGAGUUAAACCGUACAGGACGGGAGUGUGCUUCUGCAUGCAGGAUGGAUAUUUGUCUUGGCAGGAAAUCUAAAUAAAGGCCAGCAACGGAGGUAAAAGCUGUUUGGUUUUAAUCGUUUCGCAGCGGGAGAUGUGUGGGAAAAUUCCAACCCGAAUUCCCAAUUCCACAGCUGGAAGCUGCCCCCGUAUAAACCGCAGUUUGAUCAGUUUGCCAGUGUGAGGCUCCAGUGGAGCAUUUGAGGUUAAUGGUCUUGCACUUGUGAGCUAAAAAUGCAGCAAUGGCAAGUUUACACUUUUGCGAGCCUGACUCAUGCUGUCAGUCAUGGGAACCAAACUGUGAUCUCCCAGAAUUUGCCUCUCUAAGGGUAUAUUAAGGUUAGAAUAAUUAAAAAAAAAAAAAAAAGGGCGGCCCGGUAGUCCAGUGGUUAGCACGUUGGCUUCACAGUGCAGAGGUACCGGGUUCGAUUCCAGCUCCGGCCUCCCUGUGUGGAGUUUGCAUGUUCUCCCCGGGCCUGCGUGGGUUUUCUCCGGGUGCUCCGGUUUCCUCCCACAUUCCAAAAACAUGCGUGGCAGGCUGUUUGAACACUCUAAAUUG